rnacentral:rRNA from 1 species
GAUGAACGCUGGCGGCGUGCCUAAUACAUGCAAGUCGAGCGAACGGACGAGAAGCUUGCUUUUCUGAUGUUAGCGGCGGACGGGUGAGUAACACGUGGAUAACCUACCUAUAAGACUGGGAUAACUUCGGGAAACCGGAGCUAAUACCGGAUAAUAUUUUGAACCGCAUGGUUCAAAAGUGAAAGACGGUCUUGCUGUCACUUAUAGAUGGAUCCGCGCUGCAUUAGCUAGUUGGUAAGGUAACGGCUUACCAAGGCAACGAUGCAUAGCCGACCUGAGAGGGUGAUCGGCCACACUGGAACUGAGACACGGUCCAGACUCCUACGGGAGGGAGCAGUAGGGAAUCUUCCGCAAUGGGCGAAAGCCUGACGGAGCAACGCCGCGUGAGUGAUGAAGGUCUUCGGAUCGUAAAACUCUGUUAUUAGGGAAGAACAUAUGUGUAAGUAACUGUGCACAUCUUGACGGUACCUAAUCAGAAAGCCACGGCUAACUACGUG